CCCAUUGAUUAAUAAUAUUAAAAGGCUGCGGUAUUUUAACUGUACGAAGGUAGCAUAAUCAUUUGUCUUUUAAUUGAAGGCUCGUAUGAAUGGUUUGAUGAAAUAUAAACUUUCUUUUAAUUAUUUUUUUGAAUUUAAUAUUUUAGUUAAAAAGCUAAAAUAUUUUUAUAGGACGAGAAGACCCUAUAGAAGUUUACUAAUUUUAUAAAAUUAUAUAUUUUGAUUUUAAAUUAUUUUUUUAAAAGAAUGAGUUUUAUUGGGGUGAUAUUAAAAUUAAAUUAACUUUUAAUUAAUUUUUUCAUUAAUUUAUGUUUUUUUUGAUCCAAAAUUUUUGAUUAAAAGAUUAACUUACCUUAGGGAUAACAGCGUAAUUUAUUUGGAGAGUUCAUAUCGAUGAAUAAGUUUGCGAC
rnacentral:rRNA from 1 species